ACCUGACUGCUAUCGGAUUGAUACUAAGCCAUGCGAGUCAUUGUAGCAAUACAAGGCAGACGGCUCAGUAACACGUAGUCAAUCUAACCUAUGGACGGGGAUAACCUCGGGAAACUGAGAAUAAUAUCCGAUAGGCCACUAUGUCUGGAAUGGUUUGUGGCCCAAAUGAUUUAUCGCCGUAGGAUGGGACUGCGGUCUAUCAGCUUGUUGGUGAGGUAAUGGCCCACCAAGGCUAUAACAGAUACGGGCUCUGAGAGGAGAGGCCCGGAGAUGGGUACUGAGACACGGACCCAGGCCCUAUGGGGCGCAGCAGGCGAGAAAACUUUGCAAUGUGCGAAAGCACGACAAGGUUAAUCCGAGUGUUUUCUGCUAAAGAAAUCUUUUACCGGUCUUAAAACCACCGGCGAAUAAGGGGUGGGCAAGUUCUGGUGUCAGCCGCCGCGGUAAAACCAGCACCUCAAGUGGUCAGGAGGAUUAUUGGGCCUAAAGCAUCCGUAGCCUGCCGUGUAAGUUUUCGGUUAAAUCUAUGCGCUCAACGCAUAGGCUGCCGGAAAUACUGCACGGCUAGGGAGUGGGAGAGGUAGACGGUACUCGGUAGGAAGGGGUAAAAUCCUCUGAUCUAUCGAUGACCCCCUGUGGCGAAGGCGGUCUACUAGAACACGUCCGACGGUGAGGGAUGAAAGCUGGGGGAGCAAACCGGAUUAGAUACCCGGGUAGUCCCAGCUGUAAACAAUGCAAACUCAGUGAUGCAUUGGCGUAAGAGCCAGUGCAGUGCCGCAGGGAAGCCGUUAAGUUUGCCGCCUGGGAAGUACGUACGCAAGUAUGAAACUUAAAGGAAUUGGCGGGGGAGCACCACAAGGGGUGAAGCCUGCGGUUC
rnacentral:rRNA from 2 species